GGCUCCUUUCCUUAUAUGUCUAACCCUGGCCUGGAGCACUGGAGGAUGAGGUCCGCUGACUGCAGCGUCCAUCCUGGUCCUCCCCAGGCACUGUGGCCUCCCUCACAGCAUGGCUGCCUUGGGUACUCGGACUUCACGUGGAAGGCCAGGGCUCCGAGAGCAAAUGCCCCAGCAAGACAGAAGCUCAGCCGCCUUUGAUGACCUAGAAGCUAGGCAGCAUCCAUUGUACUGCCUUCUAUGGGUUGUGAGUGAGUCCCAAACCUGCCUUGACUCAAGGAAACGGAAUUAGGCUCUACGUCUUGACUAGGUAGUGGCGAAGUUCUGGAAGCACAUGAGUAGGAGAUACUGUGACGGUUUCAUCUUUGGAAAAUACCAUCUAGCACACCUGAAUCUGCUUUCAGGGGGUGUAAGGGGAUUUCCAUGGCAAAAUUUGAAGCCACAUGUGGUCACUGCUUUGUACUGAGGAAACAAAGUGCUCUGGGCAUCCAGAAAGGGGGUACGUUUUUUCUUACUGGGAUAAAUCUGGCUGCAUUUUAGCUAAUCCUGGAAAAUUGAUCGACAAAAGCAAAGGACCAAGAAAGCUGCUUAUAUCAGUGUCUCCUCCACCCUCAGCCUCCAGUAGCAUCCCUACGUUUUACAAUUUUAUUUAUGUCACUUUAAAUAAGGACAUUGAGAGGGAAAAGGCCUCAUCGACAUACCAACUACAGGCCAGGUGGACCUUCGGUGCACACACACCCCAGCGCCCACAGAGAUCCAGGCCUCCUGUGUAUGAAUGUGUGCCAUGAAUUUAGACCUAUUUCUCGCCUUCCGGGCUCUCUAUUCCUCAUCCUCCAUCCAAGUGGCCAUCUUGUGCAGGCCCUGAAAGCAGCAGAUCUCACCUGCAUUGGAGGAUGAGACGCCACAUGAAGAAGAAAGAAGACGCCACAGACAGCAGCGCAGUACCACCUUCCAGAGAUGUGAGUGUGACCGUCUUUGACCUUCUAGCCCAGCUGCUUUCCCUGAAUGCAAUGCAUGAGCAGGCCAGGCAAAACUAGAGAGGGAAGCUGCCCAGCUAACCCACAGAAUUAUGAGAGAUAAAAAAUCAUUGUCUUAAGCCACUAAGUCUGUUAUGCAGCAAUAUAUAGCAUUCAUUCAACUUUUGUCUCAUGAAUACUCUCAUUUCUUUUAUAAGUUCUUUUGUGGUUCAAAUUAGCUCAAAUCAGUUUCUGAUGCUUAUGACCAAAUGCCCCUAUGUGAUAGAUUUUGAGGGGUUAAGAAGCUUGCUCGGAUCACACAGCGGUAAGUAGCAGCACUUCAUCUUUAACCCACCUCUGGCCCACUCCCUUUCCAUAGGUCCUUGUUGCCUCCCUCCCUAAUCCCUUCCAGUCUAGUUUCCUCACUCAUUUUAGCAUCUUGAAGAUGCCUGACCUUUUGUAACAGGCACUUAGAAGAGGCAAUAAUCAAGCUGUGAGCUGGAAUACUGGGUUUCUCAUCCAAUAACCAGGUUGGCAGGUUGGUAACCAUACAAGGGACUUUUCAAACUGGAGAAUUAGUGUGCUGAGCACAAAGUGGUGAGUAUUUUGAGAGUUACUGAAAUAUAAUUGACAUAACAAUAAAAAUACAAUAUUUAAGUGCAUGUAUUUCAAGUGUACGAUUUGACAAGUUUGGUUAUAUUAUAUACACCUACGAAACCAUCACCACAAUUAAGAAAAUGAGCAUAGCUAUCACACACAAAAGUUUCCUUGUGCCCCUUGGUAAUUCCUCCCUCUCUCCUGCCCACAUCUCUCCUUUUCCCAGGCAAUCCCUGAUCUGAUUUCUGCCGCUAUCAAUUCGUUUGCAUUUCCUAGAAUUUUAAAUAACUGAAAACAUACAUUAAGAACUCUUUUUCUCUGGCCGAGU